GGGUUCGUGGUCUAGUUUGGUAGGAUCUGCGCCUGGGGCGCGCAAGAUCGGGGGUUCAAAUCCCUCCGAACCCA
rnacentral:tRNA from 1 species